CCUCCUUAACGAAAGCUGGAGGUUUCGGUCAGAGUCCACACGAAUUACUUGGUUAACGUGAAGAGAGCAAAAGGGUCUUUGCAGGCCCGACUGGUCUUGUCGAACCGACAAGCAAAACCGGGUCUGUAGCUCAGGUGGUUAGAGCGCACCCCUGAUAAGGGUGAGGUCGGUGGUUCAAGUCCACCCAGACCCACCAGAAUUUCGCUGCUCGUCGUUGCUUCCAGGCUCACGUGCUACUCGCACGCUACACCUGAAAGCGCCUAAAUCAGCAAAAUUCUUGGCUACUGUAAGGGGCUGGUACCUCAAUUGGGAAGAGCGCCUGCCUUGCACGCAGGAGGUCAGCGGUUCA
rnacentral:misc_RNA from 1 species